rnacentral:lncRNA from 1 species
GAGAACUAACUCAAUGGAGAAUUGACAUUGAAAGAAAAAUGGACUAUGCUCAACAAGAUAGGGAAAGACAAAUUACCAUAAUUCAAGAUGAGUUGAGAGUCAUGAGAGAUGAGCAAGGGAGAAUGAGGGGAAGUAGGAGUGGAGAUUCUCACCAUGAGGUAGAGAAUUUUGGAAUGAGAGACUAUGAUGGGGACUAUUCUUUUAGAAGACAUAG